AGCAGGUACUGGAUGCUUAUUGAGAUUGUUUUGGUCUUCUGAGGUGCUUGCUGUGCUAUGCUGUGGACCGUGAUUAUCUUCAGAAGUUCCACCAUAUGGGCCUCUUUGAACUCCCCUGGAUGAAUCUAUAUUGUUGUUUCUUUAUGGCUAGCGCAAGCCAAUGACAAAUACCUUCGCUUGUGGUUGAUGGUUACCAAUUCUUUCUGCUGUGAACCUUCGGUCAACAUAUACAAUCUUGAUGAAGUUUCUGAGCCUAUCUACAUCACUAUAUGACAGUACUCAAACAUCAACAGCAGAUUCACAUCAUACAUUAAGAGUCUAUGAUAAUCAUCUGGUUUAGUGGCAGACCUAAUGUCAGGAAGAGGCUGUCCUUGGAAGUCCCAAUGUUUCAAAUAUAUUUCCUUACCACGCUGAACUAUCAAAAAUAUAUGUUGUAAGACUUAAAAGCA